rnacentral:rRNA from 1 species
CUAAAACUAGUCACCGAAGCUGCGGAUGUGCGCGAAAGCGCACGUGGUAGGGGAGCGUUCUGUAGGCUGAUGAAGGUGCAUUGAGAAGUGUGCUGGAGGUAUCAGAAGUGCGAAUGCUGACAUGAGUAACGAUAAUGUGGGUGAAAAGCCCACACGCCGGAAGUCCCAGGUUUCCUGCACGACGUUAAUCGGAGCAGGGUGAGUCGGCCCCUAAGGCGAGGCUGAAGAGCGUAGUCGAUGGGAACCAGGUUAAUAUUCCUGGACUUUUUAUAAGUGGUGAAGUGGGGACGAAGAAGGCUAGGUGAGCCAGGCGUUGGUUGUCCUGGUACUUGCAUGUAGGGGGGAAGACUUGGCAAAUCCGGUUUUCCAUAACUCUGAGGUGCGAAGUGGUUCUGACCUUUUGGUACAGAGAAGUCAUUGAUGCCCGGCUUCCAGGAAAAGCUGCUAGCCAUAACUUAUAGAGAACCGUACCGCAAACCGACACAGGUGGACAGGUAGAGAAUACUAAGGCGCUUGAGAGAACUCGGGUGAAGGAACUAGGCAAAAUGGUACCGUAACUUCGGGAGAAGGUACGCCCUUUUGGGUGAGGGCAUUUACUGUCUGAGCUUAAGAGGGCCGCAGAGACCAGGUGGCUGCGACUGUUUAUUAAAAACACAGCACUCUGCAAAUUCGUAAGAAGACGUAUAGGGUGUGACGCCUGCCCGGUGCCGGAAGGUUAAUUGAUGGGGUUAUCUUCGGAGAAGCUCUUGAUCGAAGCCCCGGUAAACGGCGGCCGUAACUAUAACGGUCCUAAGGUAGCGAAAUUCCUUGUCGGGUAAGUUCCGACCUGCACGAAUGGCGUAACGAUGGCCACACUGUCUCCACCCGAGACUCAGUGAAAUUGAAAUCGCUGUGAAGAUGCAGUGUACCCGCGGCUAGACGGAAAGACCCCGUGAACCUUUACUAUAGUUUUGCACUGGACUUUGAUGAUGACUGUGUAGGAUAGGUGGGAGGCUGUGAAGUGAGGACGCUAGUUCUCAUGGAGCCGCCCUUGAAAUACCACCCUGUUGUUAUUGAGGUUCUAACUUGGUCCAGUAAUCCUGGAUGAGGACAGUGUAUGAUGGGUAGUUUGACUGGGGCGGUCUCCUCCCAAAGAGUAACGGAGGAGCACAAAGGUACCCUCGGUACGGUCGGACAUCGUACCAAGAGUGUAAAGGCAAAAGGGUGCUUGACUGCGAGAGUGACGGCUCGAGCAGGAACGAAAGUUGGUCUUAGUGAUCCGGUGGUUCUGAAUGGAAGGGCCAUCGCUCAACGGAUAAAAGGUACUCCGGGGAUAACAGGCUGAUACCGCCCAAGAGUUCAUAUCGACGGCGGUGUUUGGCACCUCGAUGUCGGCUCAUCACAUCCUGGGGCUGAAGCAGGUCCCAAGGGUAUGGCUGUUCGCCAUUUAAAGUGGUACGCGAGCUGGGUUUAGAACGUCGUGAGACAGUUCGGUCCCUAUCUGCCGUGGGCGUAGGAAAAUUGAGAGGAGCUGCUCCUAGUACGAGAGGACCGGAGUGGACGAACCUCUGGUGCACCGGUUGUCACGCCAGUGGCAUGGCCGGGUAGCUAAGUUCGGACGGGAUAACCGCUGAAAGCAUCUAAGCGGGAAGCCUCCCUCAAGAUGAGUUUUCCCAUGAAGCCCGUUGAAGACUACGACGUUGAUAGGCAAGGUGUGGAAGCGCAGUAAUGCGUGAAGCUAACUUGUACUAAUUGGCUGAUUGUCUUGACCAUAUAAUCUGAG